rnacentral:rRNA from 1 species
GGACCAACAUGUUGGUCGUGCCUAGGUACGUACUGGCAUUGUUGGUUUCUCCCUUCUGACGAACCUUGAUGUCAUUAAUUUGGUGUCUUGGGGAAUCAGGACUGUUACUUUGAAAAAAUUAGAGUGUUUAAAGCAGGCACACGCUUGAAUACAUUAGCAUGGAAUAAUGAAAUAGGACGUUUGAUUCUAUUUUGUUGGUUUCUAGGAUCGACGUA